rnacentral:rRNA from 1 species
CCUCCCUUAGUGGGAGAGUUGCCACCGGAUCCCAUAAGAACUCCGAAGUUAAGCGUGCUCGGGUAGGAGUAGUCCCCCGAUGGGUGACCUCCCUGGGAAGUCC